UACAGAGGUCUCAAGCGUUGUUCGGAUUCAUUGGGCGUAAAGGGUGCGUAGGCGGCGCGGUAAGUCGGGUGUGAAAUCUCGGAGCUUAACUCCGAAACUGCAUUCGAUACUGCCGUGCUUGAGGACUGGAGAGGAGACUGGAAUUUACGGUGUAGCGGUGAAAUGCGUAGAUAUCGUAAGGAAGACCAGUGGCGAAGGCGGGUCUCUGGCUCGACCCUGACGCUGAGGCGCGAAAGCGUGGGGAGCGAACGGG
rnacentral:rRNA from 1 species